rnacentral:lncRNA from 1 species
UUAAUGUCCCUCUUUUUCCCUAAACCUUUCCUUGUUGAAGUCUGCGCCAUCUGGAAUCAAUAAAAACUAUUACUUUCUUUAGGUUAGUGUUAGCAUGGCACAUCUUUCUCCAUUCACUGACUUUUAAUCCAUAUAUGCCUUUAACAUAAAAUGUAAGAAGUGUUAAAUAAUCUUUGAUAUUGCACAUAAAUCACACUAAAAUGCCUUCAAUAAGUA